CGCUGUCCUGCCUUUUUUUCAUUCUAUUCGGUCCUUUCGUUAUUUUAAUAGUGUAUCCUGACUUUUUUUAACCUAAAUUGUCAUCCUGACAUUUUAUUUUUACUAAAAAAUCCUGUCCUGCAUAUUUUUUUCAAAUUUCCUGCUAGCACCCGACUCGCCCCCCUUUUUUCCCCCUAAAAAUCAAAUGGUGGCUGCCUAUACCUGCAUGAUAUGUU
rnacentral:lncRNA from 1 species